rnacentral:rRNA from 1 species
UACGUAGGGUGCAAGCGUUGUCCGGAAUCAUUGGGCGUAAAGCGCGCGUAGGUGGCUUCGUAAGUCCGUUGUGAAAGUCAAAGGCUCAACCUUUGAAUGCCGAUGGAUACUGCGAAGCUAGAGUACGGAAGAGGCGAGUGGAAUUCCAGGUGUAGCGGUGAAAUGCGUAGAUAUCUGGAGGAACACCGGUGGCGAAGGCGGCAUCCUGGACCGGCAUUGACGCUGAGGAGCGAAAGCCAGGGGAGCAAACGGG